CGCGAGGCGCCGGCAGCGCGGCGGAGCGGGCGCCAUGUCGGGCCGAGAGGGCGGCAAGAAGAAGCCGCUGAAGCAGCCGAAGAAGCAGUCGAAAGACCUGGAUGAGACAGAUCUGGCAUUUAAGCAA